GAUGAACGCUAGCGGCAGGCCUAAUACAUGCAAGUCGAACGGUGUCUUCGGACAUAGUGGCGCACGGGUGCGUAACACGUAUGCAACCUACCUUACAUUGGGGGAUAGCCUUUCGAAAGGGAGAUUAAUACCGCAUAAGACAGUAACUAGGCAUCUAGUAGCUGUUAAAGAUUUAUCGAUGUAAGCUGGGCAUGCGUCCAAUUAGCUAGUUGGUGAGGUAACGGCUCACCAAGGCAAUGAUUGGUAGGGGAACUGAGAGGUCAAUCCCCCACACUGGCACUGAGAUACGGGCCAGACUCCUGCGGGAGGCAGCAGUAGGGAAUAUUGGGCAAUGGACGCAAGUCUGACCCAGCCAUGCCGCGUGCAGGAUGAAGGCGUUAUGCGUUGUAAACUGCUUUUAUACAGGGAGAAACGACUCUUGCGAGAGGCAUUGACGGUACUGUAUGAAUAAGCACCGGCUAACUCCGUGCCAGCCGCCGCUGUAAUAC
rnacentral:rRNA from 1 species